rnacentral:rRNA from 1 species
UGGGGAAUAUUGNNCAANGGGGGGAACCCUGACGCAGCCAUGCCGCGUGAAUGAAGAAGGCCUUAGGGUUGUAAAGUUCUUUCGGUAUUGAGGAAGGUUGAUGUGUUAAUAGCACAUCAAAUUGACGUUAAAUACAGAAGAAGCACCGGCUAACUCCGUGCCAGCAGCCGCGGUAAUACGGAGGGUGCGAGCGUUAAUCGGAAUAACUGGGCGUAAAGGGCACGCAGGCGGUUAUUUAAGUGAGGUGUGAAAGCCCCGGGCUUAACCUGGGAAUUGCAUUUCAGACUGGGUAACUAGAGUACUUUAGGGAGGGGUAGAAUUCCACGUGUAGCGGUGAAAUGCGUAGAGAUGUGGAGGAAUACCGAAGGCGAAGGCAGCCCCUUGGGAAUGUACUGACGCUCAUGUGCGAAAGCGUGGGGAGCAAACAGGAUUAGAUACCCUGGUAGUCCACGCUGUAAAACGCUGUCGAUUUGGGGGUUGGGGUUUAACUCUGGCGCCCGUAGCUAACGUGAUAAAUCGACCGCCUGGGGAGUACGGCCGCAAGGUUUA